rnacentral:rRNA from 1 species
GAAUGCUGACAUAAGUAACGAUAAAGCGGGUGAAAAGCCCGCUCGCCGGAAGACCAAGGGUUCCUGUCCAACGUUAAUCGGGGCAGGGUGAGUCGACCCCUAAGGCGAGGCCGAAAGGCGUAGUCGAUGGGAAACAGGUUAAUAUUCCUGUACUUGGUGUUACUGCGAAGGGGGGACGGAGAAGGCUAUGUUGGCCGGGCGACGGUUGUCCCGGUUUAAGCGUGUAGGCUGGUUUUCCAGGCAAAUCCGGAAAAUCAAGGCUGAGGCGUGAUGACGAGGCACUACGGUGCUGAAGCAACAAAUGCCCUGCUUCCAGGAAAAGCCUCUAAGCAUCAGGUAACAUCAAAUCGUACCCCAAACCGACACAGGUGGUCAGGUAGAGAAUACCAAGGCGCUUGAGAGAACUCGGGUGAAGGAACUAGGCAAAAUGGUGCCGUAACUUCGGGAGAAGGCACGCUGAUAUGUAGGUGAAGUCCCUCGCGGAUGGAGCUGAAAUCAGUCGAAGAUACCAGCUGGCUGCAACUGUUUAUUAAAAACACAGCACUGUGCAAACACGAAAGUGGACGUAUACGGUGUGACGCCUGCCCGGUGCCGGAAGGUUAAUUGAUGGGGUUAGCGGUAACGCGAAGCUCUUGAUCGAAGCCCCGGUAAACGGCGGCCGUAACUAUAACGGUCCUAAGGUAGCGAAAUUCCUUGUCGGGUAAGUUCCGACCUGCACGAAUGGCGUAAUGAUGGCCAGGCUGUCUCCACCCGAGACUCAGUGAAAUUGAACUCGCUGUGAAGAUGCAGUGUACCCGCGGCAAGACGGAAAGACCCCGUGAACCUUUACUAUAGCUUGACACUGAACAUUGAGCCUUGAUGUGUAGGAUAGGUGGGAGGCUUUGAAGUGUGGACGCCAGUCUGCAUGGAGCCGACCUUGAAAUACCACCCUUUAAUGUUUGAUGUUCUAACGUUGACCCGUGAUCCGGGUUGCGGACAGUGUCUGGUGGAUAGUUUGACUGGGGCGGUCUCCUCCUAAAGAGUAACGGAGGAGCACGAAGGUUGGCUAAUCCUGGUCGGACAUCAGGAGGUUAGUGCAAUGGCAUAAGCCAGCUUGACUGCGAGCGUGACGGCGCGAGCAGGUGCGAAAGCAGGUCAUAGUGAUCCGGUGGUUCUGAAUGGAAGGGCCAUCGCUCAACGGAUAAAAGGUACUCCGGGGAUAACAGGCUGAUACCGCCCAAGAGUUCAUAUCGACGGCGGUGUUUGGCACCUCGAUGUCGGCUCAUCACAUCCUGGGGCUGAAGUAGGUCCCAAGGGUAUGGCUGUUCGCCAUUUAAAGUGGUACGCGAGCUGGGUUUAGAACGUCGUGAGACAGUUCGGUCCCUAUCUGCCGUGGGCGCUGGAGAACUGAGGGGGGCUGCUCCUAGUACGAGAGGACCGGAGUGGACGCAUCACUGGUGUUCGGGUUGUCAUGCCAAUGGCACUGCCCGGUAGCUAAAUGCGGAAGAGAUAAGUGCUGAAAGCAUCUAAGCACGAAACUUGCC